GGCAUGAGGUACCGUAGCAGUCGAGCGGAUGACGGGAGCUUGCUCCUUGAUUCAGCGGCGGACGGGUGAGUAAUGCCUAGGAAUCUGCCUGGUAGUGGGGGACAACGUUUCGAAAGGAACGCUAAUACCGCAUACGUCCUACGGGAGAAAGCAGGGGACCUUCGGGCCUUGCGCUAUCAGAUGAGCCUAGGUCGGAUUAGCUAGUUGGUGGGGUAAUGGCUCACCAAGGCGACGAUCCGUAACUGGUCUGAGAGGAUGAUCAGUCACACUGGAACUGAGACACGGUCCAGACUCCUACGGGAGGCAGCAGUGGGGAAUAUUGGACAAUGGGCGAAAGCCUGAUCCAGCCAUGCCGCGUGUGUGAAGAAGGUCUUCGGAUUGUAAAGCACUUUAAGUUGGGAGGAAGGGCAGUAAGUUAAUACCUUGCUGUUUUGACGUUACCGACAGAAUAAGCACCGGCUAACUCUGUGCCAGCAGCCGCGGUAAUACAGAGGGUGCAAGCGUUAAUCGGAAUUACUGGGCGUAAAGCGCGCGUAGGUGGUUCGUUAAGUUGGAUGUGAAAGCCCCGGGCUCAACCUGGGAACUGCAUCCAAAACUGGCGAGCUAGAGUACGGUAGAGGGUGGUGGAAUUUCCUGUGUAGCGGUGAAAUGCGUAGAUAUAGGAAGGAACACCCGUGGCGAAAGGGACCACCUGGACUGAUACUGACACUGAGGUGCGAAAGCGUGGGGAGGAAACCAGGAUUAGAUA
rnacentral:rRNA from 1 species